rnacentral:rRNA from 1 species
CGCGUAGGCGGUUUGGUCAGUUGGAUGUGAAAGCCCAGGGCUUAACCUUGGAACUGCAUUCAAUACUGCCAGGCUAGAGUACGGUAGAGGGGGUAGAAUUCCACGUGUAGCGGUGAAAUGCGUAGAGAUGUGGAGGAAUACCAGUGGCGAAGGCGGCCCCCUGGAUCGAUACUGACGCUGAGGUGCGAAAGCGUGGGAGCAAACA